rnacentral:tRNA from 1 species
UCCCUGGUGGUCUAGUGGUUAGGAUUUGGUGCUUUCAAUGCUGCGACCCAGGUUCAAUCUCUGGUCUGGGCA